UUAAUUUCAGCAACAAAAGAAGAAGAUGAAGAAAUUGAAGAUGAUAAACGUAUGAAUGAAGAUGAAGAGGCAAAGAAGAUGAAAAAGAAGGCCUUGCAAAUUCUAAGGAGUAGCAAUGAAGAUGUUGAAGAUUAUGAUAAUGAUUAUGAUGAAGAAUAUCAACCUUUAAGUGAGAGAAGACAAGCUUUAAAAGAGAAGAAGCUUGAAAGAAAGCUUAGAAUCUAAUACGCUGUAUUAUCUUCAAAUAAAAGAAGAUAUCCCUUGAGAGAAAAAAUACCUCAUGGAAAAUAGUGGAAGAACCACAUCUUUCCUCAAGUAAGUGAAGAACAU
rnacentral:lncRNA from 1 species